GCCCAGCUAGCUCAGUCAGUAGAGCAUGAGACUCUUAUUAAUCUUGGGGUCGUGGGUUCGAGCCCCACGUUGGGCG
rnacentral:tRNA from 1 species